CGUGGAGGAUGACCUGUGGCGGUUUAUUAGAAAACAGCAACAGAAAAGUGAUAUUCUAUUUCCUUACCAUUUUGGGUUCCACUGGAUUCUUAUGGUAAUUCAAGUUCAGACCUCCUCAGUUCUCGUCCACGACUCUCUGAAUAUGGAUCCGGCGCUUUGGGCCGACAUGAGAAAAAUGAUGCAAAAGGUUUGGAGACGGUUCGUAGAUACCAAGGUCGGUGAAUUCAAAAAAGAGCUACAUUUUAAAAUGGCAGUGCG